UUUUCAGCCGCCGCGGUAAUACGUAGGGGGCGAGCGUUGUUCGGAUUUACUGGGCGUAAAGAGCGCGUAGGUGGUUCGAUGAGUCGGAUGUGAAAUCCCUCGGCUCAACCGAGGACCCGCGUCCGAUACUGUCGAACUUGAGUGCAGGAGAGGAGAGCGGAAUUCCCAGUGUAGCGGUGAAAUGCGUAGAUAUUGGGAGGAACACCGGUGGCGAAGGCGGCUCUCUGGACUGUCACUGACACUGAGGCGCGAAAGCUAGGGGAGCAAACGGGAUUAGAAACCCCUGUAGUCC
rnacentral:rRNA from 1 species